rnacentral:rRNA from 1 species
CAAUCCAGGUCGGUUUCUAUCUAUGCAGCCACCCCUUUCAGUACGAAAGGACAAAGUGGGGGAAGACCAAUGCCACAAGCACGUCUCAAACCAUUAACUGAAUAAAACUAAAGUUAAACAGCUACUACCACGACCAAUGAUCGUGGUCU